CUUCCGCCGAUAUGACUUGUACCUGCUCUUUCCCUGAGACCUUAACCUGUGUCACGUGGUUCCGUCAGUUCACACCGGUCUUUGUCUCGGGGUAAGAGAGGGCAACUCGUCCACUUCCGAUCAGU
rnacentral:precursor_RNA from 10 species